rnacentral:rRNA from 1 species
AUUCCAGCUCCAAUAGCGUAUAUUAAAGUUGUUGCAGUUAAAAAGCUCGUAGUUGUAUUUCUGGUUUUUUGUCUUUCUCACUCGAAUGAGUUGAAGAGGGAUGAGGAUGCCAUAUUUGUGAGGAUGUGUUGUGCGAUUAAUUUCGUGUGGCAUGGAAUUGCAUCGUUUACUGUGAAAAAAUUAGAGUGUUUCAAGCAGGCAUUUAGGCUGUGAAUACAUUAGCAUGGAAUAAUAAGAUAGGACUUUGGUGCUAUUUUAUUGGUUUGCACACUAAAGUAAUGAUUAACAGGGACAGUUGGGGGUAUUCGUAUUUAGUUGUCAGAGGUGAAAUUCUUGGAUUUACGAAAGACGAACUACUGCGAAAGCAUUUACCAAGGAUGUUUUCAUCA